UCCCAUCUUGAAUGAUUUCUGGGAA
rnacentral:piRNA from 1 species